CAAUGUGGAGCCCUUCCAGCCGUGCUGAGAGGAUUUGUUUGUGUGGAACCUGGUGGCUUGUGUUGCCAUGGUAAUUCUAGUUUUGAGGCAUGUUGAAGAAUUUGUCUGAGUGGCAGAAGCUUUCUACGCGGCCCGAGGAGAUAGCCAUGUGCCUUUGCUACCACUCAUAUUUGAGAGGUGACUUCGACAAGAUGACUUUGACAAAGUGACUUUGACUUGACAGACAUAUUAACACGAAACAGGCUAUGUCUACCACAUUCUACAAGUUUCUUUCACCACGAAAGAGGCCAGGAAGCUGGCUUCUGGCCCCACAGGGGAGUCCUCCCAAUAUGCUUGUUUUCCCUGGACUCUCCCAGAUUGAGAUGUUAGCACAGUUGAAGGAUAACUUUUCAACUGUCCUACUGCCUGACCUUGAGCUCGAUUAAUGGGUCCCUGCAUGAUUUCUCGGAAGGAUGCAGAGGUAACAUGGUUCACCAAUGGCAACAGCCUCAUUCAGGAUGGACAGAGGUACGCUGGGGCAGUGGUGGACUCAAACACCAAGAUCAUAUGGGCAGAGUUAAUCCUGGAAGGAACGUCAGACCAAAAAGCUGAACUGGCAGCUCUGACCAAGGCGAUAGAGCUGAGAAAAGACAAGAGACACAGAUAGCCAUGUGCCUUUGCUUACCACUCAUAUCUGUGGGGCUAUUGACAGGGUGAGAGGCCUUCUGACAGCAGAAGGAAGAACUAAACUGCAUUCUAGAGGACAACAAGAUAGUCUAGUGGGUAGCCCUGGAAAUUGGCCCCCUCAUGUCCUUGAUCACACUAAACCCAGGAGAUCCCACAUUCUCUGACCAGACAGAAAAUGUGAUCUGGGCCAAAAAAAAACCUGCCCAUGUCUCAGUGUCAUGAGAUUAUGGAGGACAGUUAACUGACUACAAACUAAUUGUACCAGAGAAAAUGGAUCUACACACAUUGAAAAAGAUCCAUCGUUAUUCACACAUGGGAUUCUGGUGAAUACAGGACUUAGUCUGCCAGUUACACAUCAGAAUUAGAGAUGCCAAUUUGAAAAAAGCUAAAAUCAUUAAAAACUGUAAGGCCUGUCAAUUGACUAAUGUGGUUGCCAAUGAGAAGAACCCUGGAGCACCAAGCCAGGAGUCUAUCAGGAAAUGGACUUCACGGAGGCAAAAACCAGGAAAAUUUAGAUACAAAUAUUUGCUGAUGUUUAUAGACACCUUU
rnacentral:lncRNA from 1 species